ACAAACCUUAGUCGGCACAGUAUUUUGGAAAGGUUCUCUUUAACAUAAGUUAUGCAAAAAGCGGAAUAUGCAGUUUUUUCAACUUUGCCAUAAAGUAAGCCAUAAACUGGAGUUCGGCCGAUGCUGAUCGCUUUCUUGGCACUUGGCCCACACACACACUCUUCGCCAGGAGCUGUCAUCUCGUAUGCAGCACACUUUGCAUCGCAUGAUGGGGCAAGUGGAGCAAACACCUGCCUCCAACUGGUGGCAAGGUCCUGGCCACAUAGCCACCUGGCCGAAGCUUUCCUCUGCCCGAAGGUACACACACAUAGGUGGAGACCAAGUUACUUGGGCAAGUUACUUGUCAGGCAGCCGCGUGCCGUGCGUGCAAAUAAAUCAAAUAAAUUAUGGAAAAACCAAGGCAAAGUGUGAGAAAUGGUGGCUCUUUCCCCCGCUCAAUCCCUGGCCUAUUCAUAUGCUUAUGUUGUAAGAGAAAUAAAAAAUGUAAGCGACGAGCAAUGGAAAAUCAGACUAAAAGAGUGAAAAUUUCUGUUGGCGGCGUUGCAG